UCACUUGAUCACUGCCUGACUGAAGCUGCCACAUUUCAGAUGCCUUGUGCUCUUAGACGCUUGUUUGCCACUAUCUUAGUAUUUUGUGAGGUUACAAAAAUCCGAGAGUUGUGGCACAAACACCUGGAGUCGAUGUCUGAGGAUUACCGAUGUUCCCAGCCCAACGAGGCAAUACUUGAGCAGAUGGUCCUUAGAGACAUCAGGGAUUUGUUGCAUUCCAUGGGGAAGGAUAUUAAAACCUAUGGCCUUCCGGAGCUGGUUGAUACAAAUGCUUUUCUAGGCGAUGAGUGCAUGGAGGUUAGAGAGGAGAGGGAGGUCGGUGUGGACCAAGAACAUAUUGAUCUUAUCAACUCUUUAAACAGUGAGCAACUAGCUGGAUUCAAUGACAUCAUGGACCAUAUCAUGAACAAAAGAAGCCAAGUCUUCUUU
rnacentral:rRNA from 1 species